GAUGAAGAACGUAGCGAAAUGCGAUAAGUAGUGUGAAUUGCAGAAUUCAGUGAAUCAUCGAAUCUUUGAACGCACAUUGCGCCCCUUGGUAUUCCAUGGGGCAUGCCUGUUCGAGCGUCAUUUGUACCUUCAAGCUCUGCUUGGUGUUGGGUGUUUGUCCUUGCUCUAGUGGCGGGACUCGCCUUAAAGUAAUUGGCAGCCAGUGUUUUGGUUUUGAAGCGCAGCACAAGUCGCGAUUCAAGUCUAUACGCUAGUUUCCACAAGUCUUUUAUCACUUUUGACCUCGGAUCAGGUAGGGAUACCCGCUGAACUUAAGCAUAUCAUAAGCGGAGGA
rnacentral:misc_RNA from 1 species